rnacentral:lncRNA from 1 species
CAUUGAUAAUAUGUUUGACCAGCUUUAAGUCAGAGGCCGGUCGAUGGGAGAUGUCCAAAUCUGCCGAGGGUGCAGAGUUACUCACCGAACAAAACAGCGUUCAUAGUAACCAUGGAAUUACCAGAAUGGGAAUGACCCGGACUUGUCAGGUUAACCUGACCUGAUUCGAACACGGCCGAUGGAGUUCGCCAAUCGAGUUAAGGUUCGAUCCUAGCACAAUGCUCGCUCCCACCCACAGCCUAAAGCGCCCAGCGAUCUCCCCGCCGCCGCCUCCUCGUUCGCGCUCGCCUUUUCUUCCCCUCCCUUCCCUCGAUUGUCCAACAAAGUCGCACUACCAGCACCAUCUGCUCCCCCCGCCUGCCUCCUCCCUCCGCUACACGCUGUGGCCGCUUCCACGUCCACCGUCAUUUUGCUGCUCACAGCUCCCCGUCUCCUGGGUUGCCAUUACGACACCGACCUUGGCGGGUCGGUUCUAUGUGAUUGCUUGCGGCCCUUCCUUUUACCCGGCCCGGCAGGGCCCCAGCCGACCCGUCCAUAUCCCUCCUUUUAUCUAUCUGUAACGGCUGGACUUCCAAAUCAAAAGAAACGGCUGCCGACAUAGCAGGUUUUGUUGUCGCCUCGGGAGAUCUAUAAAUAGUGUGGGUGGGGGAGAAAUAAAAGUGAUGCCUCCUGUUUCUCCUCUCCUCCUAAGGCCACCCUUCUCCGCCUCUGCAGUUCCCUGGUAGCUUCUUCUCCUUUUGUUCCCGUCAACUCAGCCCUCCCCCCUCUUUGUUUGCCUUCUUCUUGGCUUUUUGAUCAGCCGUGGAGUUUGUAGGAUCUGGAUCAGAAGAAUCUUUCUAGCUAUCAUGGACUUUAAGUUUCUUGAUGUGUUUCUUUUCCCUUCUUCAGAGAUAUUUAAAAAGUUUAGUUUCUUGAUAAGUGUAUAUUUGAUUGUUUCUUUUCUCGCUUCACGAAGGUACAAUCUGAUGAUGAGCUUCCGGUGUGUUAUACGCGUGAUGCUGUU